GCCCACGUGGCUCAGUUGGUAGAGCACGUCCUUGGUAAGGACGAGGUCACCGGUUCGAUCCCGGUCGUGGGCUCCA
rnacentral:tRNA from 1 species